AUCCCUUAAAAAGACAAUGUUGGUUUAAUACCUUGAAAGCUGGCAAAACUGAAGGGUGGGGAGGUGGGGAGAGGCAACGAAUCAAAUAGAAAUAUUCACUCGCAUGCUGUUCUCUAUACAGAGCUCUAACUUGUAUGGUGCUUUAAAAAAAAAAAAAGCUGUUGUAAGAAUUCACACCCAGAAAUGUUGCAUUUGCAAUUUAUUGCCAUCCCUGUGUUGUGCAGUCUUACCAUACUGAGAAAUUGCUUGUCUUUUGAAAUAAGUGGUUAACCUGCUGCAAAUUAUUUCCUUCAAUUUAGCUGAGUUGUACUCGGGUUUUUAUUGCCUGUGCGCAUCCCAAGUAGAUUUGCUCAAGUUUCCUUGCCUUCUAAAAAAGUUAUAUUUUAGAAUGUCUUUUUAAAAAAAUCAAUGCAACUUCCUUUUUACUUUGAACACCAUUGUUUUUAAAAGACACAUUGAAUAGUCAUACUGUGAUCUAAUUGACUAGUGCACUUGAUAAACUAGACAUAAAGUUUACUGUUCAGUCUGUCUUUGGCCUGCCUCUGUAUUGAACAAGGGCAGUGUAACUUAUCCAAGGCACCAUAUUUGUGUUCCUUCUUGGUUCAUUUAUGGCAGAACUCACUUUUGAAAGGAUUGUAAUGCUAUGAAGGUGGCUGGUGUCCUCCAUUCAAUACACACUAUCACAGGCCAUAUGCUCUUACUACCUUAGUAUCUGUGACAGAUAGGAAAUGGAAUAUGUGUGCAAUAGAAUUGGCGUUUUUGUUUUGUUUUUCCCUUUAGAUCCAGGAACUCGCGGGGAUGGGGCAGGGGCAACAUUUUACCAAACCUUUGCAGUGUGGCAGAGACAGAAAAUUGGUAGAUUCUUGUUAUAAAAUCUUUCUCUCUCACACACAUACACACCAUUUUUCUGAUUUGAAUAUCACACUGUUUUGCUGUUCUGUGGCUAGUUGCAACUUCCACCUUCUUCCUGAUCAGGCUGCUGGAUCCAAGCCUAUUGUAAGCUGCUGGAUAAUUUCAGAUUGUUUGGGGACCCUACGAUUUCCCAUUGCAGCCAUCUCCCUUUAAGGCAAAAGCCGUUUGGACAGAAAAAAACCCAUCCCUGAAUUUCUUGGAGGCAGCAACCUGUAGUGAGGGGUGUGCUGAGGUGGCAGAGCAUUUGCUAAAGAGAGCUUUCACUGCUUAGCUCUAUGGAGGCAUGCCCAGCAUAUGGAUGUGCUGUGUUUCCUUGAGAAGGCGACUGGCAAAUAUGUGCCACAUGUGUGAUUGUAUGUGUGUAUGCAUGUGUGUGUUGCUUACAACCUGUUUCUCCUGAAAGUGUCUGAACUUGUAUUUUUGAGCUGAUAUUAUGGUAAGGUUAUCUGAAAUAUGGGUGUCAAAUGUUUGGACAGGGGUGCAAUUUCAGUGCAUGCCCUAGGCGCUAUUUUCCCUAGAUACGCCCCUGCACUGCGGUCACCAUUAGCGCCAAGGUCUGUGGAUGAGUGACAGUGCCAGGGCGGGAUUGCAGCUAUAUCUCAACUCACUUUCUGAGGGCCAACUUUCUUGUUCAACCACCUGGGAAAACAGGAUCACAAAUAAUCAAGUACCUCCACCUUACAGAAGCUGGUCUUCAAAAUGGAAUCAAUCUACUUCCCUGUGUCUCUUUCCGUAGGUAGGUUUAAUGUAAGAAAUUGCUAGCCUUUCUAGUAAUAUGCUUUCACUCAAGACUAAGGACUUUAUCAUUAAACAAAACAACUCUUAAAAGCUAGAGAGCAAAGACGGUAGCAAGCCUGGCAGUCCAGGAAGCAUUCCACCUUAAUGUUUGGCUGUGCUUCAGCUUCAUUUCACGAAUGCUGACAUCAUCUGCUGCUACUUUGAUGGAUGGGAAACUGGGGCAGCAGCAUGAACAGGACCUUGGGAAAUGAACCCUGAUUUGGGGGCUUAAAGAUAAAUGCAGUGAGGUCGUUCCACACUGUAUCUGUGCUGCACCUAAUGGCAGAGAGAGACUGCAAGGCGCGCUUUAAUGUUGCAUACUCUUGUCUCUGCCAGCUGCUGAAUAUUUUAUCAAUCUUGGGCGAAAACCUUCAACUCAGCUCCUUUAAGGCUAGCAAUUCAGCUGUUUGGGAUCAUCUGCCGGCUUGAAAAUGUGCGGGCAGUCACACAGAUGCAAGGAGAAUAAAGGCGUUCUGUCAGCUUGCUUGCUUGCUCUUAGAAUAGGAAUGGCACAGAAACCAGGAAAGGGUGGACCACCACACACAAAAUGUAAUCGUUUGGCCACUGCCCAGAAGCAUCAGCUGCUAGCUGGCAAACCAGAUAUGCUUUUCACCUGUUUUUGCAGCUGUCAUCAUUUGACUGAAAGUAAGAGCAAUGAUCUAACUGGCUGUUGCACAUUGCCCCUGGCUUCUGGUGAAUGUUCAUCAUUGCUCAGUCUCUUUGUCCAAAGCACAUAUGGGAAGGGAAGGUCCAUGUUGACCCAGAUGUAUUUGCUAGUCAAUUGACCAAAUAAAGACUGACCCAGAUAGGUGACAAGGUGGAGAAGAUGUUUCCUGUCUCACCUUAGUGACCAAGGGUCAUUUUCUACACGGACAGAGGCCAUAACCCGCACAAGAGUCUAUACUCCUGCAGUGUGUGUCUGGAAGCUGCAACAUAUAUAUCCACAGCAUGUGAAAUACAAUAUUUUCAUACAUGGCCACAUCCACAUGUUCUUCCACAGAAGUGUAGGGAAACUCUCAUGUCAAGUGGCCCUCACACUCAAAGCAGUAGCUCAAGCCUCUAUUGCCUGUAACCAUCUGUACUCACUAUCUCUCCUAUCCAUCUAAACCUACACUUGAAAAUGGGGCUGAUGUACUGUAGGGACACUGGGUAUGUGUGGGCUGUAAACAAAGAUGUACCCAGGAGCUUUCCCAGACAGCAGGCUUUACUGCAGGUUUACUGCGAGUUCAAAGUUGCCAAAAAACACAGCCACCCCCAACCCACGAAUAUGUGGGAUGAACCCCUUAUCUUCCAGUUUUUCCCAUGUAUGCCGAGGUUGGGUGUUAAUUAUCCAACCGUGGAUAUGUGAAACCGCGGAUGUUUGGUCUGCAGAUAGGGAGAUCAACCUGUAUUUUAUGCUUGAUAAUACACCUAUAGUGAGAAAAAAUUGAAAGGUAAAGCAGAGCUGCUUUUACUUACUAAUUUACCAUACAUGGCUGUUAACUAAUCAUCUGCUAAUUAGGCAAAGAGGAACCUUCCAAAGGAGUGAUUCUCUUAUAUUUAAGGAGGAGAACAACUGGCCCUGUUCAACCCCAACACAGCAUCCCUGCAAUGACUGGUGCUGAUGUCUGUCUUGUGUAGUGGUGGUGGUUGCCUUUCAUCUCAGAUAAAUUAAGCAGGCGCUUAUAUGGUGGCUUUGCAUGUCUCAUGACGGCUAAUACAUUUCCCUCUGCAUUGUGAUCCCUGCUGCCCCAUAAAAAGGCUGCAUGUCCAAAGCAAAAUAUCAUGUGCCUGAGGCUGUUAUAACAGUAGUGCACCUCAGUAGAAAAUAGAACAUAGAAUGGUUACAAAUCUUUACCCAAAAGUUGCAUAAUGGGCAGAAAUAGCAGAUAAUGCUUUUCUCACCAUGGAGAGGGGGAAGAAUAGCAUAUGCUGAUGGCUUUUAACCAGCUCUUCAAAUUUCAAAACCAGUUAUGUGCCUUUCUUCUAGGAAGAGAGUCCCCUUCCACAAAAAUGCUGGCAACCCUAUGAAGAAGAGCUGUUCCCUUAUUAGGAGGUGCUCACAUACACGUCUGUUGCACGCCACUGGUUUUGAAUUAUUUAGUUAUGAGUAAUUAUUUAGUUAUAGGAUAGUUCCUAAGCAAAGUCCUUACUGACUGGCUUUAUUCUAGCAGGUAAGGAUUCCAGCCAGACCUAUACUUGGGCAUGUAAUACAGUUCCCCAGCUUGGACUCUAGCCAUGUUUUAAGUAUUAACACUCGGCUUGAAAAGUGCUUGAGGGAAUUAUUUAUGAGCACCAGUUGUCAAUGACUCUCUUUAAAAACGGGGCUGAUCGAAAGCACCUCCUGUGGCACUUUGGCCCAUGAAGCAUGCCGAGGAGUAGCUGUGCUAUUUCGCUUGCUCCUGACACCAGGACUCUCCUUUCCCCCCACAGCAGGUAAAGAUUAUUAAUGGACACAUGAACUGCCUUGUAUGGAGGAGGCUACAGUCUUUCUAUUGCUCCAUCUAGCCCAAUGGAACUACUUUCCAUUGUUGGCAAUUCAGCACUAUAUUAGGCAGGGAUCUUUUAAAACUCUGCUACCCGAGUACCUUCCUCUGCAACCACUUCCUAGGCAUACAAAAGUGGGACUCAUCUGUUGACAUAUGACCCUUCUAUCUAUGGGUGCUGGGGAAUGGGACCAGAAUAGGUGCAGAAGAGAAAUGGUUGUGUUCUCCUUUGCACCAACAGGAAAUGAGGGUUCUCUAGAUUGUGACAUGGCAAGAAUCCUAUUUAAACUAGUGCUGAUCUAGCACUAAUCAUAUUUAAACUGGUGUUGAUCCUAGUAGCUGGCAAUCCCAGCCCCCAUAGAAUGCCCAAGGAAUCAUGUGGGGGGCCAUCUUUCUCUCUCUCCCACAAGCACUGUCAGAAUGGUGCUAUGGCAUGAUGUAGUAUAAUUCCCAGGGCAUUGCAGAGGGGGAAAUAAAAUAAUUUGGUUUGUUCCAGUUCAGAGCCAUUUUAGAUUCUGUUGUCCCCUCCGAUGACAUUUGGAGUGGGCCAGAUUCUAGUCCUUGUCUCCCGACAGCCCCCAGUGAGCCUUGAACCCCCUCAAUAGACUUCAGAUCCCAAAGGACAUUGUGUCUUUACUCUGAUCUGUAGCUUCUCAGAGUGACAACAAAAGAGAGAAGGGCUGGAAGGGGAAAAGCCUUUCAUCCCCCAUCAGCAGUUCUGCUGCCCUUCACCUCGCGGGGCACUGUAGCAUGCCACAACAAUUGGGGGAGGGGAAUAAAAGGGGGGAAACCUCCCUUCUCCCCACACAAAUGACUCUGCUGCUGCUGUUCUUCCUGCUGCCACCAAGACAGGUAUGUUAGAGGUUGUUGACUUUUACCCACAAUAGGUAAAAGAGCAGAGCACUAAGGAAUGAGCACACACUCCAGUUACAGAGUAGGUAGCAGAGGAUGGUUUGGAUAUUGCAGCUAUUUAGAGAAAACACAUGGAGAUCCUUGUAUGACUAAACACUAAAUAUUUAUUGGUUGAAUACACUUAGAUAGGAAAGACCUAUCUCUGAUCUAAAGGACUACAUAGUGGAUAGGUAAGGAGAGAGAGAGAGAUGUUUCCAUCUGCUCUCUAGGAGGAAAGGAAGGAUUGUGACUCAGCACAGGAAGUGCUGCAGAGUCAGUUCAGGGGUCAUAGAGUAGGGACAGAUAGGGAGACCCUGACUCACUGUCUCUACUCCCAAUGCUCCUAGUGGUCAUUAGGACAGUUGGUGCAAAAGGUCGAUGCACUGGAAGUUCAUCUCCAACAAGGUAAGGAGAGGCCCCUGAGUUGCCAGAGUUCUUCCCAGUUUGGAGGAGGAAAGCACUUGGAUAAUUUCCGAGCGAAUCCAAAGCAAGCUCUCAGCUGGGCGCUUUCCAGAUUACUUGCUGUUCAGCAGUAAAAUGCUUCCGCUUGGCAGGAUCUUUUUGAAAAUGUGAAUCGCUUGCGCAGCCCUACAAAAGGAAAAUACAGCUAUUUUUUUUCACACACAUGCAACAUUGUAGAGCUAAAACACAAGGAUAAAAUCCAAAAGAAGGCCUCGGAAAUGUGAACGGCACCUUGCUGACAGCACAGGGACUAUGAUGUUGAAACACAGGCCGUAUGGAAGCACACUUAAGGACACGUAGUGACACUCUGGCUGCUCGCCGCCCAAUUGGGUGGUGCAGCCCAUUUGCCCCAGCCCCCUGACAAGAAGCACGAGGCUGGGAGUGAAGCCUAUUGGCUGUCGGGGCCGUGCGGGGGUGGGGCUUCAGCCACGCAGCCAGCUUGGGUGUCCGAUCUCCUUAAUCUGCUCUUCUCAGUCUGUCCUUCGCAGGACAGAUCUCCUCAGUCUGCUCUCCCUCCCUUCCCUGGGUACAGUCUGGGCUUAUCUGGUCGCCUAUUGGGGCUGGGCAGGAAUUUGGGGGGCACUCACCUGAUUGGCCGGUGGUGCCCGUCCUUUUUCACCUGCCUCUGUCUGUACUGAGUUAGUCAGUUAGUUGAGAUCACCUUUCCCGGUCACAAUUCUGGCAGGUACAGUGUGGCUGGGGAGAACAUCUGAAUUUGGAGAGCACCUUCAAGACAGAGCAUAGGUGCUGUUAGUAAUUCUGAUCACCACAGGGGACAGUUUGAAAAGGCAGGGAUCACGAUGAACAGGAGGAGGUGGAGAAGGAACAGCUGCCAUUAUCACCACCAGAUAGCAUCAAGAAGGCCAGCUGAGGCAGCUGGCAGAAGUGGACACAGGGAGGCCACUACUUUCACCAUUCCGUCCCCUGAGUCAGCUGCUUCCCCUUCCCUCGUUAGCAGUUCUCAUUACCAGGCAUUUCUGGUUUUAAGCACACAUCUUAAAAAUGCUGUUAGACAAUUGCAUAGUUUGCCCAAGUGGAUUGUUCAAAAUAAUGUAUUUAAAAAUUGCAGUCUUCUAGCCUAUUAUGUCUACUUCUACUAAUAUUGCUGUUUCCUAUCUGAAGAGUCACAGAUCUUACUUUACUACACUCACAGAGCAAUCCUGGGCACAGUUACUCAGAAGUAAAUCCCAGUAUAGGCUGUUUCAGACAUAGGGUCUACCAACCCUGCCCACCAUGGGGCUUAUUCCUAGUUAAGUAUGAUAGGAUUUCAGCCUCAGUUACAACCUUUCUUUGCAUAUUCCCAGAUCUUUUCUUCUCACUUACCAACCCUAAUCCCAAAA